CGGAGGGUGCAAGCGUUAUCCGGAUUUACUGGGUUUAAAGGGUGUGUAGGCGGAUAUUUAAGUCAGAGGUGAAAUCUCCGAGCUCAACUCGGAGACUGCCUUUGAUACUAUUUAUCUUGAAUUUCGUUGAGGUUGGCGGAAUAUAUCAUGUAGCGGUGAAAUGCACAGAUAUGAUAUAGAACACCGAUUGCGUAGGCAGCUGGCUGAACGAACAUUGACGCUGAGGCACGAAAGCGUGGGUAGCGAACAGGAUUAGAUACCCUGGUAGUCCACGCCCUAAACGAUGAUUACUCGACAUACGCGAUACACAGUGUGUGUCUGAGCGAAAGCAUUAAGUAAUCCACCUGGGAAGUACGUCCGCAAGGAUG
rnacentral:rRNA from 1 species